rnacentral:rRNA from 1 species
GAUGAACGCUAGCUACAGGCUUAACACAUGCAAGUCGAGGGGUAACGAGAGGAAAGCUUGCUUUCCUUGUCGACGACCGGCGCACGGGUGAGUAACGCGUAUCCAACCUGCCCCCAACUAGGGAAUAACCUUGCGAAAGUAAGACUAAUACCCUAUCAUUUCCUCAAAUGACAUCUGACGAGGAAUAAAGAUUUAUCGGUUGUGGAUGGGGAUGCGUCUGAUUAGCUUGUUGGCGGGGUAACGGCCCACCAAGGCAACGAUCAGUAGGGGUUCUGAGAGGAAGGUCCCCCACAUUGGAACUGAGACACGGUCCAAACUCCUACGGGAGGCAGCAGUGAGGAAUAUUGGUCAAUGGGCGGAAGCCUGAACCAGCCAAGUAGCGUGCAGGAUGACGGCCCUAUGGGUUGUAAACUGCUUUUAUACAGGAAUAAAGUUAGCCACGUGUGGUUAUUUGUAGGUACUGUAUGAAUAAGGAUCGGCUAAUUCCGUGCCAGCCGCCGCGGUAA